AGCUCAGUUGGUCAGAGCAGACGGCUCAUAACCGUCCGGUCGUAGGUUCGAGUCCUACA
rnacentral:tRNA from 1 species